GCUGGGUGGAUUAGUGGCGAACGGGUGAGUAACACGUGAGUAACCUGCCCCUGACUCUGGGAUAAGCGUUGGAAACGACGUCUAAUACUGGAUAUGACCGCCGAUCGCAUGGUCUGGUGGUGGAAAGAUUUUUUGGUUGGGGAUGGACUCGCGGCCUAUCAGCUUGUUGGUGAGGUAAUGGCUCACCAAGGCGACGACGGGUAGCCGGCCUGAGAGGGUGACCGGCCACACUGGGACUGAGACACGGCCCAGACUCCUACGGGAGGCAGCAGUGGGGAAUAUUGCACAAUGGGCGAAAGCCUGAUGCAGCAACGCCGCGUGAGGGAUGACGGCCUUCGGGUUGUAAACCUCUUUUAGUAGGGAAGAAGCGUAAGUGACGGUACCUGCAGAAAAAGCACCGGCUAACUACGUGCCAGCAGCCGCGGUAAUACGUAGGGUGCAAGCGUUGUCCGGAAUUAUUGGGCGUAAAGAGCUCGUAGGCGGUUUGUCGCGUCUGCUGUGAAAUCCCGAGGCUCAACCUCGGGCUUGCAGGUGGGUACGGGCAGACUAGAGUGCGGUAGGGGAGAUUGGAAUUCCUGGGUGUAGCGGUGGAAUGCGCAGAUAUCAGGAGGAACACCGAUGGCGAAGGCAGAUCUCUGGGCCGUAACUGACGCUGAGGAGCGAAAGCGUGGGGAGCGAACAGGAUUAGAUACCCUGGUAGUCCACGCCGUAAACGUUGGGCGCUAGAUGUAGGGACCUUUCCACGGUUUCUGUGUCGUAGCUAACGCAUUAAGCGCCCCGCCUGGGGAGUACGGCCGCAAGGCUAAAACUCAAAGGAAUUGACGGGGGCCCGCACAAGCGGCGGAGCAUGCGGAUUAAUUCGAUGCAACGCGAAGAACCUUACCAAGGCUUGACAUACACCGGAAACGGCCAGAGAUGGUUGCCCCCUUGUGGUCGGUGUACAGGUGGUGCAUGGUUGUCGUCAGCUCGUGUCGUGAGAUGUUGGGUUAAGUCCCGCAACGAGCGCAACCCUCGUUCUAUGUUGCCAGCGCGUUAUGGCGGGGACUCAUAGGAGACUGCCGGGGUCAACUCGGAGGAAGGUGGGGAUGACGUCAAAUCAUCAUGCCCCUUAUGUCUUGGGCUUCACGCAUGCUACAAUGGCCGGUACAAAGGGCUGCGAUACCGUAAGGUGGAGCGAAUCCCAAAAAGCCGGUCUCAGUUCGGAUUGAGGUCUGCAACUCGACCUCAUGAAGUCGGAGUCGCUAGUAAUCGCAGAUCAGCAACGCUGCGGUGAAUACGUUCCCGGGCCUUGUACACACCGCCCGUCAAGUCAUGAAAGUCGGUAACACCCGAAGCC
rnacentral:rRNA from 1 species